UAAUGUUGUCCCUGGAGAAGAUGUUUUCAUUUGCUUGAGCGACACGCAUGAUGAACAGCAACAAUGCCUCAAACACAUCAUUCUUUCACUCAGGAAAAAGGAGAAAAAAUAAUGACUCAUCUUUUACAUACUGUAGGGCUGUCUGUCUCCCUCUCUACACUUACGGCAUCCACACCUCUCCCCGUGUCAGCGUCGUACGCCUGCUCUUCUCAACAGCUUUGGUGAGGAGACUGUGUCAGGUCAAUUAACAGUGCUGCUCCGUACAUUUUCCACCUGACUCUUCCCAUUAGCACCACUGAGAUACACAACAGCAAAGAGCGUGCAACCACACCUUCAGUGUAAGCAUUUCUUCCCUGCUUUAACAGAAUUUUUCUCCUGUUUUCUAAGCUUUUUUCUCCCUUUAUCUCUCUUCCUCAUUUGGUUUAAGUUGCGGUUGAGCAGCGGAAAGGCCACCUGGCAUGACACGCCGCUGUUGUCAUAUUUUCUAAUUACAGAGCAACAGGAAACUAGAGUUUGUGUCGAUGUGAGGGCGUGUGUGCUAGUGGACAAUGUGACCGCACAGAGAGUCUGUUUAUGCCAUCUGUGGCUGAUUCCAAACAAAAUCCUCCUGCAGAAUGAACCAUCCCCAAUCCAUUGGAAGUGUGUGAUUUCAUACUAUCCCGUGAGCUCGAAGCAGGUGGGCCACAGGUGAUCUAUGGCCAUCAU
ensembl:lncRNA